rnacentral:rRNA from 1 species
GAUGAACGCUGGCGGCGUGCCUAAUACAUGCAAGUCGAGCGAACGGACGAGAAGCUUGCUUCUCUGAUGUUAGCGGCGGACGGGUGAGUAACACGUGGAUAACCUACCUAUAAGACUGGGAUAACUUCGGGAAACCGGAGCUAAUACCGGAUAAUAUUUUGAACCGCAUGGUUCAAAAGUGAAAGACGGUCUUGCUGUCACUUAUAGAUGGAUCCGCGCUUCAUUAGCUAGUUGGUAAGGUAACGGCUUACCAAGGCAACGAUGCAUAGCCGACCUGAGAGGGUGAUCGGCCACACUGGAACUGAGACACGGUCCAGACUCCUACGGGAGGCAGCAGUAGGGAAUCUUCCGCAAUGUGCGAAAGCCUGACGGGCAACGCCGCGUGAGUGAUGAAGGUCUUCGGAUCGUAAAACUCUGUUAUUAGGGAAGAACAUAUGUGUAAGUAACUGUGCACAUCUUGACGGUACCUAGUCAGAAAGCCACGGCUAACUACGUG